CAUCAGAUGGCUGAAAGCAAGUGGUGGUCUCUUAAACCACAAAAUAGUAAUAUAGCAAUUACUUCUGAUGA
rnacentral:tRNA from 1 species